rnacentral:rRNA from 1 species
UGCAUAUCAAAAGCGGAGGAAAAGAAACCAACAGGGAUUGGCCUAGUAACGGCGAGUGAAGCGGCAACAGCUCAAAUUUGAAAUCUGGCUCUUUUAGAGUCCGAGUUGUAAUUUGCAGAGGGCGCUUUGGCUUUGGCAGCGGUCCAAGUUCCUUGGAACAGGACGUCACAGAGGGUGAGAAUCCCGUACGUGGUCGCUGGCUAUUGCCGUGUAAAGCCCCUUCGACGAGUCGAGUUGUUUGGGAAUGCAGCUCUAAAUGGGAGGUACAUUUCUUCUAAAGCUAAAUAUUGGCCAGAGACCGAUAGCGCACAAGUAGAGUGAUCGAAAGAUGAAAAGCACUUUGGAAAGAGAGUCAAACAGCACGUGAAAUUGUUGAAAGGGAAGCGCUUGCAGCCAGACUUGCUUACAGUUGCUCAUCCGGGUUUUUACCCGGUGCACUCUUCUGUAGGCAGGCCAGCAUCAGUUUGGGCGGUAGGAUAAAGGUCUCUGUCACGUACCUCCUUUCGGGGAGGCCUUAUAGGGGAGACGACAUACUACCAGCCUGGACUGAGGUCCGCGCAUCUGCUAGGAUGCUGGCGUAAUGGCUGUAAGCGGCCCGUCUUGAAACACGGACCA